CGAAAAGUUAUCCACGGUGCCACUGGGAGCCAAGGUGUAGCCUGCACGAGACACGCGUGGCGUCAGACACCGCAGGGGAAGAGGAGGAAGGCGCCGGGAGGGUAACUUGGCAGAAAACAUUGCCAUUUUAAUGAAAAUAGCAUGAGGAGACUUCGAUUGCCUAAAAUUAAAACAGCAGCAACAGAAAGAUGCCAAGACUCGUGUUAAUACGGCAAAAAAUAAAGUGAAAAACACAGAGACAGCAAGAUGGGCACCCCUGACAGACCUACCGCUGCGGUCCGCGCCAGUCAGCCCAGUCACGGGCACACACCCCUGGGGUCUCAGGGAGCUGUUGGAUCAGGACCUGGGGCCUCCCCCCGCCAGCCUCACGGAGCACCGCGUUUCAUGGCCAGGCCACCGUCCAGCCUGGCAGUCACUACCUUCAGUGUGCAGCACGUUACGCAAUGAGCAAGGGAGACAGACGACCCGAGACGGCUGGGCUAAGGUUGAAGUGGCACAGCUGAGGUCACCAGCUAAAAGAACGCAGGUUCAUGGUGGAACGAGUUUCACUACCGCUCCCUGCACGCGCACAGGGAGUGUCAGAGCCCCAGGAGGAACGCAGGCGGCCACAAGCCCUGGGACAGACUUGGAGAGUGACCUGGAGCUGGAAGAGCCAGCACGGAUUCAUACUGCCCAAGGCGGCCACGACAGAAAGGGCAGGACACCCACAGAGGAGCCGCUGCUGGGCGUUGUCCAA